GACCUCAGGGACUACAGAUGCCACGUGGGAAGCGCCUGGGCAGCCGGCCGCAUGCAAAACCUGGAUGUCUUCCUGCAAGCCCCUGGGAUAGCUGAAACCAGAGGGACAUUAAGCAGAAACCAUAAAGUCACAUUUCUGAAAUGCUUUAGUCAUCAAAGCUCUGUGCAAGUAAAUCUGCUGCAGCUGGAGAAGAUGCACGGAGAUCUGACAGAGAGGGUAGCAGAGGGCUGCACUGUGGAGAGCCUGCAGGUCGUCCCCAGCACAGCUGGGGGAACCAACCACACCUGUGUGUUACGGACAUCCACGAGAAGGCAGUUCCAUAGAAGAUUUAUUUUCAGAAGCAAAGUCUUUCUGGCAGUGAUUUCGAAUCACACCGUAACAGCAACACCCCUCAAGCAGAAAGUGUUUUCCAAUGGCUCAUCUACCCCACGUGUGCACCCAGAGCAGCAGACCU